AUUGAACGCUGGCGGCAGGCUUAACACAUGCAAGUCGAGCGAGCGGCGGACGGGUGAGCAAUGUCUGGGAAACUGCCUGAUGGAGGGGGAUAACUACCGGACACGGUAGCUAAUACCGCAUACCAUCAGAUGUGCCCAGAUGGGAUUAGCUAGUAGGUGGGGUAAUGGAUCACCAAGGCGACGAUCCCUAGCUGGUCUGAGAGGAUGACCAGCAAAACUGGAACUGAGACACGGUCAAGACUCCGACGGGAGGCAGCAGUGGGGAAUAUUGCACAAUGGGCGCAAGCCUGAUGCAGCCAUGCCGCGUGUGUGAAGAAGGCCUUCGGGUUGUAAAGCACUUUCAGCGGGGAGGCGUUACUCGCAGAAUAAGCACCGGCUAACUCCGUGCCAGCCGCCGCGGUAAUAC
rnacentral:rRNA from 1 species